rnacentral:rRNA from 1 species
AUGCACUUCUUCUCGGGCCGGAGCAAGCUGCGGCAGAAGAGCGGCGGCGGCAAGAACCAGGCCGAUGCCUCCACGGCGGCGAAGGCCAAGCACAAGGACGGCAGGUGCCGCGCUCUGUGCUGCGGCGCGUCGCGGCUCAGCGUGUCUUCGUCCGCGUCCUGCUCGUCCCUGGACGCGCCGGACACGACGCGCGGCCGCAUGUCGGACAUCGCCCACGGCAUGGUCGAGGCGAGGCUGCAGUCCAUGGGCGACGCCGCCUCCGUCGACGGCCGGUCGUCGGCGACGCGCCGCGGGACGGAGCCCGCCGACCAGCGCCGUCGCUGGCCGUGCGUCUGCUCCUGCGCCAGCGGCGGCGGCUGCUACGAGAGGGGCGCGCCCAGGCCCCGGGAGAGGAAGCCGUGCGUCGUGCUGGUGGCCGUGGACAGGAGGACCUACGAGCCCCGGGAGGAGUUCCGCCGGUCCAUCGCCGAGGUGAUCGCGGCGAAGCGGAUGGCCGAGCCGGCGGAGCUGCGGGCGCUGCUCAACUGCUACGUGUCCGUGAACGCGCGCGAGCACCGCGCCGCCAUCCUCGACGCCUUCCACGAGGUGUGCACCGGCCUGUUCGCUUGCAAGGGUUGA